CCGUAGAGGGUGAAAGUCCCGUAUCUGAAGUCGAAAAUGACACUGACUGUUCCUGAGUACCGCGGAACACGUGAAACUCCGUGGGAAUCUGGGAGGACCAUCUUCCAAGGCUAAGUACUACCUAGUGACCGAUAGUGAACCAGUACCGUGAGGGAAAGGUGAAAAGAACCCCUGUUAGGGGAGUGAAAUAGAACCUGAAACCAGUUGCCUACAAGCUGUGGGAGCAUCCUUGAGAUGUGACCGCGUGCCUUUUGCAUAAUGAGUCAGCGAGUUAAUCUACUGUGCAAGGUUAAGCGAAAGUGGAGCCGUAGCGAAAGCGAGUCUGAUAAGGGCGACAAGUACAGUGGAUUAGACCCGAAACCAGGUGAUCUAUCCAUGAGCAGGUUGAAGCUCAGGUAAAACUGAGUGGAGGACCGAACCAGUAUCGGUUGAAAACGAUUUGGAUGACUUGUGGAUAGGGGUGAAAGGCCAAUCAAACCUGGUGAUAGCUGGUUCUCUCCGAAAUAUAUUGAGGUAUAGCCUCGAGGUAGUUUAACGGGGGUAGAGCACUGACAGGGCUAGGGGGCUCACCAGCUUACCAAACCCUAUCAAACUCCGAAUACCGUAUAAAUGAUCCUCGGGAGUCAGACUGCGACUGAGAAGGGCCGUAGUCGAAAGGGAAACAGCCCAGACCGACAGCUAAGGUCUCCAAAUCCAUGCUCAGUGGAAAAGGCGGUGGAAUUUCCUAGACAGCCAGGAGGUUGGCUUAGAAGCAGCCAUCCUUUAAAGAAAGCGUA
rnacentral:rRNA from 1 species